rnacentral:rRNA from 1 species
CACGUAGGAGGCGAGCGUUGUCCGGAAUCAUUGGGCGUAAAGAGCGCGCAGGCGGCUUGGCAAGUCGGGUGUGAAAUCCCGGGGCUCAACCCCGGGACUGCAUUCGAUACUGUCAGGCUAGAGGUAGGUAGGGGAGAUCGGAAUUCCUGGUGUAGCGGUGAAAUGCGCAGAUAUCAGGAGGAACACCGGUGGCGAAGGCGGAUCUCUGGGCCUUGCCUGACGCUCAGGCGCGAAAGCUAGGGGAGCGAACAGG